UGAGGAAUAUUGGUCAAUGGGCGAGAGCCUGAACCAGCCAAGUCGCGUGAAGGAAGACUGCCCGCAAGGGUUGUAAACUUCUUUUGUAUGGGAUUAAAGUCGUCUACGUGUAGACGUUUGCAGUUACCAUACGAAUAAGCAUCGGCUAACUCCGUGCCAGCAGCCGCGGUAAUACGGAAGGUCCAGGCGUUAUCCGGAUUUAUUGGGUUUAAAGGGAGCGUAGGCUGUUUGUUAAGCGUGUUGUGAAAUGUAAGAGCUCAACUUUUAGAUUGCAGCGCGAACUGGCAGACUUGAGUGCGCACAACGUAGGCGGAAUUCAUGGUGUAGCGGUGAAAUGCUUAGAUAUCAUGACGAACUCCGAUUGCGAAGGCAGCUUACGGGAGCGCAACUGACGCUAAAGCUCGAAGGUGCGGGUAUCGAACAGG
rnacentral:rRNA from 1 species